UACGAAGGCGGCAAGCGUUGUUCGGAUUUACUGGGCGUACAGGGAGCGUAGGCGGUUGGAUAAGCCCUCCGUGAAAUCUCCAGGCUUAACCUGGAAAGUGCAGAGGGGACUGUUCAGCUAGAGGAUGGGAGAGGAGCGCGGAAUUCCCGGUGUAGCGGUGAAAUGCGUAGAGAUCGGGAGGAAGGCCGGUGGCGAAGGCGGCGCUCUGGAACAUUUCUGACGCUGAGGCGCGACAGCGUGGGGAGCAAACAGG
rnacentral:rRNA from 1 species